rnacentral:siRNA from 1 species
GGAACACUAGUGUGAGGGCUU